UACGUAGGGGGCUAGCGUUGUUCGGAUUUACUGGGCGUAAAGCGCACGUAGGCGGUUUGUUAAGUGAGAGGUGAAAUCCCAGAGCUCAACUCUGGAACUGCCUUUCAUACUGGCAAGCUAGAGUCCGGAAGAGGUAAGUGGAACUCCUAGUGUAGAGGUGGAAUUCGUAGAUAUUAGGAAGAACACCAGUGGCGAAGGCGGCUUACUGGUCCGGAACUGACGCUGAGGUGCGAAAGCGUGGGGAGCAAACAGG
rnacentral:rRNA from 1 species